ensembl:lncRNA
UACUUCUUUUCCUUAUGUCCUCGAUCACUAGGCUGACAUGGUUAAAUAAAUAUAUUGGUUGAGUAUUUUAUUUCUUGCAUUUCUACCCCUGCCUACUACUAAGGACUUGAUAACUAUCUGAUGACCUAGCAACAAACAACAGUCUGCCCAACUUGGAACCAGAACAUCAUAAAAACACUGUGUAAAGACAAUAAAACGAUCCAUCAACCACCACACCUUUAUUGAGUGCCAUGAAACCAUGAGAAGUUGAGAUUACUACUUGUAAGCUUAUCCACCAAGAUGCAUUUCAACAGAGCUGGAGAAAGGAAAUGACCAAAAGGUAUUGAUGUACAUUUUAUUUUUAUGUUUACAUCCUAAAAAAACAUAUAACUUGAUAAUUUGACAGAAGACAUUAUAAGGGGGUGGGAAUCUUUAUCUUAUAUAGGACAUUUUUUCAUUAUCUUUUUAAAACAUACAGAACAUAUAUAAUUACUGUUUUCACAGAUAUAGACACUGGUAUGGGGCUGGAGAUAUGAGGUUUAAAACGUGGUGAAGUGUCCUUUUAAUAUCAGUUCUAUGAAUUCUUUCAGAUUGCACUCCCAACGCCUGACAUCCAGACAUCAGUGUUCCUAGGAAUGUGAUACUGCCGACCUACUGUAGAGGUUAGAGUGUAGGGGCGACAGGUAGCCUAGUGGUUAGAGUGUAGGGGCGGCAGGUAGCCUAGUGGUUAGAGUGUAGGGGCGACAGGUAGCCUAGCGGUUAGAGUGUAGGGGCGACAGG